rnacentral:rRNA from 1 species
CCUACGGGAGGCAGCAGUGAGGAAUAUUGGUCAAUGGGCGGAAGCCUGAACCAGCCAAGUAGCGUGCGGGAUGAAGGCCCUACGGGUCGUCACCCGCUUUUGCACGGGGAUAACACCCUCCACUUGUGGAGGUCUGCAGGUACCGUGCGAAUAAGGGCCGGCUAAUUCCGUGGCAGCAGCCGCGGUAAUACGGAAGGCCCGAGCGUUAUCCGGAUUCAUUGGGCUUAAAGGGAGCGUAGGCGGGCGUUCAAGUCAGCGGUAAAACCGCGCGGCUCAACCGCGCCCCGCAGUUGAAACUGGACGCCUUGAGUUCACAACAGGCAGGCGGAAUUCGUGGUGUAGCGGUGAAAUGCAUAGAUAUCACGAGGAACCCCGAUUGCGAAGGCAGCCUGCCGGGGUGCGACUGACGCUGAGGCUCGAAGGUGCGGGUAUCAAACAGGAUUAGAUACCCGAGUAGUC